rnacentral:rRNA from 1 species
UACAAAAACAUGGCUGUAUGUUUGUUCUAUGUACAGUCCCGCCUGCCCACUGUAGUUAAGCUAUAAAUGGCCGCGGUAGCCUGACCGUGCAAAGGUAGCAUAAUUCCGUAGCGUUUUAAUUGAAGGCUAGGAUGAAAGGUUAGAAUCGAGGGAUAGACUGUCUCUUUCUUAUUAUUGGAAAUUAACUUUUCAGUGAAAAGGCUGGGAUGAAUUGAGGGGACGAUAAGUCCCUUUGAAACUUUAUAUAGUGUGGCUUAGUUUUUGCGGUUAUUAGCAGUUGAAGUGAUAAUUAUUGCCAUUUUAUAUUUCGCUGGGGCGGUGUUGAUAUAAUUUGUAACUGUCUAUAGUGGGGUAUCCGCUAUUCAAUAGCCUAUAGCUAGGUUUAUUUGAUUGAUCCUCCAUUGGAGAUUAAAAGAGAAAGUUACUCUAGGGGUAACAGCGUAAUUUUCUUUGAGAGCACAUAUCGACAAGAAAAGUUGCGACCUCGAUGUUGGAUCUUGAUUUCCUUCUGGUGUAGAGACUAGAUUGGUAGGUCUGUUCGACCUUUAAAAUCUAACGUGAUUUGAGUUUAAACCGGUGCAAGCCAGGUUGGUUUUUCUAUAUCA